GGGCUAUUGAAAUAUUGAAGUCUUUCUGGACAGCAGCUUUAACCAUUUGCCCAUGGAGUUCAUGAAUUAGGUUGAGAUCUUGUACAACAUUGUGGACGCAGUGAAGGCAGGGCGAGUGGUGGAGCUGAAGAACGCAAAGGUGGACAUGUAAAUGCGCCAGGUGGGUGGGCAUAGCCGUGUCAGAGCUGAAGGUGAUGGAGGCUACAUCCCGUCGCCGAUGGAGUUAGAGCCGGGGACCAUGUCAAGGUGAGAAGAGGAUCUGCGUAGGAAGAAGGCGACGCUCUUUCAUAUUGCCAAUGUGUGUUGGAUGUUGUUGCUGACACUGGAUGAAUUAUCACUAUUGUUGUGUAGACCCAGGUGGUGUUGCCUGUGAUCAAAACUAUUGCAUCGACUAUUGCUGUGGUGAGGUGAUUUUUUUAC